UACGAAGGGGGCUAGCGUUGUUCGGAAUCACUGGGCGUAAAGGGCGCGUAGGCGGCUUUAUAAGUCGGGGGUGAAAGCCUGUGGCUCAACCACAGAAUUGCCUUCGAUACUGUAGAGCUUGAGACCGGAAGAGGUGAGUGGAACUGCGAGUGUAGAGGUGAAAUUCGUAGAUAUUCGCAAGAACACCAGUGGCGAAGGCGGCUUACUGGUCCGGUUCUGACGCUGAGGCGCGAAAGCGUGGGGAGCAAACAGG
rnacentral:rRNA from 1 species